GUCUGGCCGCUGAGGAGGAAGGAUGCACCUCUCUGGCUCCAACUGAGGGAGAGCCGGAAGCCCAGGCUGCGAGAAUAGGGGACGCUGAGACCCAGCUAGGCACCCAGGUACUGGCGGAUGCCCCAGGGAGAUUGCCACCCAAGGGGCUUGGAGACUCUGAGGACACCCCGACUUCAACUGCAGGAGUCAAGAUGGUAUCUACUAAACACAUUAAGUGUGCACCCACUGGGCUCAAUCCAGUCAGACGCCGAGUGCCCAACCCUCCUAUUAACGUCAGUGGAAGAGGAGGACUCUAAGCACCUCUGCGAGGAAUCCUAGCACCAGAACUCUUUAAUUGCCCUUGGCUCUGGCAUCUCUUUAGCUCCUUGUAUUCUGCAUGAGGAGAAUAAGGCCUCUCGAAUGGACAUUCUUGAUCCCCAGUCGUGCACAUGCUUAACUGUAAGGAUGUGAGGAAUCCCACUGAAGCUAAUGGAGAAAUGCUAAUCUUCAGAAGCUUGAAAUACAGUCCAAGGAGUGGAAGAGGAGUAGAAGGGCCAGAGUGACUUAGUUUGAUAUAGCC